rnacentral:rRNA from 1 species
UUCCGGUUGAUCCUGCCGGACCUGACUGCUAUCGGAUUGAUACUAAGCCAUGCGAGUCUUUGUAGUAAUACAAGGCAUACGGCUCAGUAACGCGUAGUCAACCUACCCUAUGGACAAGAAUAAUCUCGGGAAACUGAGCAUAAUUCUUGAUAGAUCAUAAUUCCUGGAAUGGUUUAUGGUUAAAAUGAUUCGUCGCCAUAGGAUGGGACUGCGGCCUAUCAGCUUGUUGGUGAGGUAAUGGCCCACCAAGGCGAUUACAGGUACGGGCUCUGAGAGGAGAAGCCCGGAGAUGGGUACUGAGACAAGGACCCAGGCCCUAUGGGGCGCAGCAGGCGAGAAAACUUUGCAAUGUGCGAAAGCACGACAAGGUUAAGUCCGAGUGAUUUCUGCUAAAGAGAUCUUUUGCCAGUUAUAAAACCACUAGUGAAUAAGGGGUGGGCAAGUUCUGGUGUCAGCCGCCGCGGUAAAACCAGCACCUCAAGUGGUCAGGAUGAUUAUUGGGCCUAAAGCAUCCGUAGCCUGCUCUGUAAGUUUUCGGUUAAAUCUAUACGCUCAACGUAUGGGCUGCCGAAAAUACUGUAGAGAUAGGGAGUGGGAGAGGUAGACGGUACUCGGUAGGAAGGGGUAAAAUCCUUUGAUCUAUCGAUGACCACCUGUGGCGAAGGCGGUCUACCAGAACACGUUCGACGGUGAGGGAUGAAAGCUGGGGGAGCAAACCGGAUUAGAUACCCGGGUAGUCCCAGCUGUAAACGAUGCAGACUCGAUGAUGCAUUGGCAUAUAGCCAGUGCAGUGUCGCAGGGAAGCCGUUAAGUCUGCCGCCUGGGAAGUACGUACGCAAGUAUGAAACUUAAAGGAAUUGGCGGGGGAGCACCACAAGGGGUGAAGCCUGCGGUUCAAUUGGAUUCAACGCCGGG